AACGAACGCUGGCGGCAUGCCUAACACAUGCAAGUCGAACGAGAUCUUCGGGUCUAGUGGCGCACGGGUGCGUAACGCGUGGGAAUCUGCCCUUUGGUUCGGAAUAACAGUUGGAAACGACUGCUAAUACCGGAUGAUGACGAAAGUCCAAAGAUUUAUCGCCAGAGGAUGAGCCCGCGUAGGAUUAGCUAGGUGGUGUGGUAAAGGCGCACCAAGGCGACGAUCCUUAGCUGGUCUGAGAGGAUGAUCAGCCACAAUGGGACUGAGACACGGCCCGGACUCCUACGGGAGGCAGCGGUGGGGAAUAUUGGACAAUGGGCGAAAGCCUGAUCCAGCAAUGCCGCGUGAGUGAUGAAGGCCUUAGGGUUGUAAAGCUCUUUUACCCGGGAUGAUAAUGACAGUACCGGGAGAAUAAGCUCCGGCUAACUCCGUGCCAGCCGCCGCGGUAA
rnacentral:rRNA from 1 species